GCCGCGGUAAACUCGGCGGCGGCCGCGCGUCGCUGCCGCUGUUCCUCCAGCUGCCGUUUCCUCUGCGGGCCUCUCUCACCCGGGGCGCGGGGGGGGGGGGGGGAAACGGAGUUGUUAUUUCUGGCCGUUUCCAUAGCAACUGCAGCCACGCGCUGGGAGCGGAAUCAGUGAACUAGGCCUGGCGCGCUCCUGGAUCCCUCGGGCUUUGCCCGCAGCCUCCGGCAGAGACUCGAGAAAUUCACACAGCCAAUAAUGAAACUGAUGCUGAGACUGAAACAGCACAAGCUUUGUUGAAUGGCCGUUCAGUGGCUGAGAAUGGAAGUGGAAACUUAGUUCACAAAUCAACUUCUCCUCAGGGAAGAUCAGGGCAAGAUUUUUAAAGGGCACGUGGGUUCGAGCUCUGGUCCAGGAAGAUCAUACAUGCCGUGGAGAAGCUAAGUCCGUGUGCCACAGCUACUGAGCCUGUGCUCUAGAGCCUGCGAGCCACAACUACUGAGCCCGCAUGCCACAACUACUGAAGCCUGCGCGCCUGGAGCCCGUGCUCUGCAAUAAGAGAAGCCACGGCAACGAGAAGCCCAUCCACCACAACGAAGGGUAACCCCUGCUCUCUGCAAUUAGAGAAAGCCCGUGCGCAGCAACGAAGACCCAACACAGCCAAAAAUAAAUAAAUUGUAAGAAAAAUUUAUUUUUCAAAAUUAUUUUCAAAAUAAUAAAAUAUUUUCAAAAUAAUAAAAAA